UGGGAAAUUGGGCAAUGGAGGCAACUCUGACCCAGCCAUGCCGCGUGCAGGAAGACUGCCCUAUGGGUUGUAAACUGCUUUUAUACGGGAAGAAACACACCUACGUGUAGGGGCUUGACGGUACUGAAAGAAUAAGGACCGGCUAACUCCGUGCCAGCAGCCGCGGUAAUA
rnacentral:rRNA from 1 species